rnacentral:lncRNA from 1 species
AGUAGAGUCUUAUCAUUACAGUUCUCUAAAUUCUAUGAAACCUCACUCUUAGUAUUGAGGAAUUACUUGCUGUUUUAGGGGCUUCCACUGUUCAUUUUCUCCAAACAGACAUUGCCUUAGAGUGGACAAAGUCCGAGCUGAAUAACUGCAUGGAAACUGCACAAUCCUAGGCACUUCAGAGCUGAAGACUAGAAGCUUCUUCCUCAAACUUUUUGGACCAGAAUCAAUUAGCCCUAAGGCCCCAGGGCCAAUGGAGAUAGCCAGGAAUUGCUGGCUGCCUGAACCAACUGUGUAGACCACCAAUGACUUUCAACAUCAAGCACAAGUGUUUCCUGCAGAGCCGGGAGGCAAACCCGGCCAUUCCAGCUUCCCGGCUCCAGCUGAUCCUCAUAGGACUUGCCCCAAACCCUCGACUUACCUAUUGGAACAGGACUCAGUGUGUCAGCUACAACUUGCUAAGUCCUCAAAUUAUAAUCAGCACUGUGUUACUGAAAUAUACUGCCUUGGGAAUGGCACAUUUUAAUUUUAAAUCGGCUUUACAAAUAUAAGCUAACACAUGCUUCAUCUAAAUGUAAUAUUUAUUGACCAAUGACCUGAACAAUAACAACAACAACAACAAUAACAACAAACAAGAAAACAAUCCCAUUUAUGAUAGCAUCAAAGAAGUAAAAUAUUUAGGAAUAAAUUUAACGAAGGAAGUGAAAGACCUGUAUACUGAAAGCUAUAAAAUAUUGAUGAAGGAAAUUAAAAGGAUACAAAUAAGUGCUCAUGGAUCAGAGUAAUUAAUAUUGUGAAAAUGGCCAUACAACCUAAAGCAAUAUAUAUAUUCAAUACAAUCCCUAUAAAAAUCCCAAAGAUAUUUUUCUCAGAAAUAGAAAAAGCAAUUCUAAAAUUUGUAUUUAUCCACAAAAGAUCCUGAAUACCCAAAGCAAUUCUGAGAGGAAAAACAAAGUUGGUGGCAUCACACUUCCUGAUUUGAAAUUAUAUUACAAAGCUAUAGUAAUCAAAACAGUAGGAUACUGGCAUAAAAACAGAAAUAUAGACCAGUGGAACAGAAUAGAGUCCAGAAAUAAUUGCAAACAUAUAUGGUCAACCAAUUUUCAGCAAGGGCACCAAAAAGACACAAUGGGGAAAGGAUAGUCUCUGCAAUAAAUGGUGCUAGGGAAGCUAGAUUUCCACUUGCAAAAGAGUGAAAUUGGACUCUUAUUUUAUACCAGAUACAAAACUCAACUCAAAAUGGAUAAGAGACCCAAAAGUAAGACUGAAAUAAUAAAACUCCUAAAAGAAAACACAGGAGAAAAGAUCUUGACAUUGGCCUUGGCAAUGAUUUAUUGUGUAUUACACCAAAAGCUCAGGCUACAAAAGCAAAAAUAAAUACAUGGAACUACAUCAAACUAAAAAGCUGCACAGUGAACGAAACAAUAAAAAAUAGGAAAGGCUGACCAGGCGUGGUGGCUCAGGGCUGCAAUCCCAGCACUUAGGGAGGCCGAGGAAGGUGGAUCACUUGAGGUCAGGAGUUCAAGACCAGCCUGGCCAACAUGGUGAAACCCCAUCUCUACUAAAAAUACAAAAAUUAGCCGGGUAUGGUGGCAGGUGCCUGUAAUCCCAGCUACUCAGGAGGCUGAGGCAGGAGAAUCGCUUGAACCUGGGAGGCAGAGGUUGCAGUGAGCUGAGAUCAUGCCACUGCACUCCAGCCUGGGUGACAAAGUGAGACUCUGUCUCAAAAAAAUAAAGUAUGAAAGGUUAACCUACAGAUUAGGAAAAAGUAUUUGCAAACCAUAUGUCAGAUAAGUGGUUAAUAUUCAAGAUUUGUAAAGAACUCAUACACUCUGGUAGCAGGAAAAUAUAUAAGCUGAUUACAAAAUGGGCAAAGGACUUGGAUAGACAUUUCUCCAAAGAUGAUAUUAAAAAUGGCCAACAGGUACAUGAAAAGGUACUCAACAUCCCUAAUAAUGAGGAAAAUGCAAAUAAUAACCACCAUGAGAUACCACUUCACACUUGUUAGGAUUGCUACUAUCAGACAACAUAACAAGUGUUGGUGAGGGUGUGAAGAAAAGGGAAUACUUUUGUAUACUGUUUGUGGGAAUGUAUAAUACUGUAGUCAUUAUGAAAAACAACAUGGAGGUUCCUAAAGAAAUUUAAAGUAGAACUACCAUAUGAUGCAGCAAUCUCUUCCUUUCAUACCCAAAGGAAAUGUAAUCACCACCGCAUAAAGAUGUCUGUACUGCCAUGCUCAUUGCAGCAUUUUUCACAAUAGCCAAGAUAUGGAAACAAUCUAGAUAUACCAAUAGAAUAUCAUUCAUCUGUAAAAGAGAAAGAGAUCCUGCCAUUUGUCACAACAUGGAUGGAUCUGGAGGACAUUCUGCUAAGUGAAAUAAGCCAGACACAGAAAAAUAUUGCAUGAUCUCUCACUUAUAUGUGGAAUCUUUAAAUAAAGAUCAGAUAUUGGCCAGCGAUGGUGUUUUAUACCUGAUAAUCCCAGCACUUUGGGAGGCCAAGGUGGGAGGACUGCUUGAGCCCAGGAGUUCAAGACCCCUGGGGUCAAGAAAGUGAGACCCUCCCCCCAAUCUCUACAGAAAAG